UACGUAGGGCGCAAGCGUUGUCCGGAAUUAUUGGGCGUAAAGAGCUCGUAGGUGGCGUGUCGCGUCUGCCGUGAAAGCCCAUGGCUUAACUGUGGGUCUGCGGUGGAUACGGGCAGGCUGGAGGCUGGUAGGGGCAAGCGGAAUUCCUGGUGUAGCGGUGAAAUGCGCAGAUAUCAGGAAGAACACCAAUGGCGAAGGCAGCUCUCUGGGACGGUACUGACGCUGAGACGCGAAAAGCGUGGGGAGCGAACAGG
rnacentral:rRNA from 1 species